CAGGGAAACAUGUGAGCAAAGGUCUCUGUGUCAUAAAUAAGGUUAAGGAAAGGAGCUGUGCCUUGAUGUGAGAGUAGGCCAGAUUUAUGUUUGACUUUACACAAGCAUCUCAGUGCGGUAAAGAGCAGUAUUGCCACCAGCAUGUCUCACCUCCAGCCAUAAGGCGGUUUUCUCCUAUCUCAGUAAAUAUAAUGUAUGAUCGAGUUUUACACCGAGACAUUCCAUUCCCAGGGAUGAGCAGGAGACAGAUGCCUUCCUCUUAUCUCAAUUGCAAAGAGGCCUUCCUCUUUCACUAAUCCUCCUCAGCACAGGCCCUUUAUGGGUGCCGGGCUGGGGGAUGGUCAGGUCUUUCCCUUCCCAUGAGGCCAUAGCUCAGGCUGUCUCAGUGGGGAGAAUCCUUGGACAAUACCCAGGCUUUCUUGGGCAGAGGUCCCUGCGGCCUUCUGCAGUGCACUGUGUCCCUGGGUACUCGAAACUAGAGAAUGGUGAUGACUUUUACCAAGCAUACUGCCUGCAAACACAUUUUUAACAAAGGACAUCCUGCACAGCCCUAAAUCCAUUAAACCUGGAGUCAACACAGCACAUGUUUCUGUGAGCACAGGGUUGGGGCUAAAGUUACAGAUUAACAGCAUCUCAAGGCAGAAUAAUUUUUCUUAGUAGAAAACAAAAUGGAGUUUCUUAUGUCUUCUUUCUACAUAGACACAGUAACAGUCUGAUCUCUCUUUCUUUCCCUGACAGUUGUUAGUAAGGGUAUCCCCUGUGAAGGCUUGUUGGUCAGGGAGGAGAUGAAGGCUGUUUGGUUUUGGAGAGACAGAGAGAGGGAGAGAGAGAAAUGGGUUUUUGUAAUUAAUAGCCAUUGUGGUUCUGAUAGGGCUGAAGGAUAUAGGUUGCAGUCGAGAGAAUGGAUUGGCCGACUAGGUGAGAUGUAGGUUUAUUUUGGACCGGGUUCGUGUGGUUAGAUUAACAGGAAGGGCUGUGAACAGCUGGAUUUGUGUGGACAAACAAAUCUAACAGUUGGAAAAAAGAGGGGAUCGUGACUGAUUUAAGAGGUAAUGUAUGAAGUUGACAAAGGGGGCCCUACUGCCAGAGGCUGGGGGUGGAGACUUAGAGUAUCUCACAAAGAAGACAAAAGGAGAUUUGAGUGGGAGAGAAAUUUUGGAAGAUACCCUGCAGCCAUAGCUCCUGGAUUAGUGUAGGAAAUAGGAGUGGUCUAUCCAGGGAUGUGGGGAAGGAAUAACAGGAAAGAUCUGAAACAAUGUACCAGAUAAAAGAUUUGAAAUUGGAGGAAGAGAGUGUUAUGGACCAGGGCCUCCUGGAUUGGCAACUUCUGGAAUUUUUGUUAAGUGCCGCUAGGUUAGUCCUGUAAGAAAGGAAGAAUUUUGGGGUGGGGGGUGUGGGGAGGGAAUUUCUGGAUGUAAAUUUGGUGCUCUUUUUAGUUUGGAAUGGUGUAUCCCGUGUAGAAAGGAUGUUAGCUUUCCCGAUGUGGGAGUAAUUAGAAUAACCUGGUGAGCACCCAUCCACUUAGAUUGGAGAAGGGAGGAGGAGAAGUCUGUGAUUGUUUAGAGUCUUCGCUAGCUAUUGGUUAACCUGUGAAACAAAUGCUCGCCUGUUGUCUGACUGGAUAGAAGAGGGGAGUCCAAAUGGGAGGAUAAUGCGGGUAAUACAGAGAAUAGAAGUGACAGUGUGUGUGUGGUUUUUUUUUUUUUGAUGGUGGUAGGAAAAGUUUCUGUCCAUCCAGAGAAUGUAUCUAUUAUUGUCAGAAGGUACUGGAUUUGUUUUACAGGGGGUCAUGUGAGUGAAGUUGAUUUGCCAGUCAGUCUUGCCCUGGCAGGUGUCUUCAGGCCUGGUGUGUGGGGAAAGGAGGUGGUUUGAUAGCUCCCUGAGGGGAAGUUUGAGUGCAAAGGGAACAUGCCUUAGUAAUAUCUUUGAGAUUGGCAGUCAUGGCAGGAGAAUGUGUAUAAGAGUUGGCAUAGGGGGCGGUAACCAGUAUGAAAAUGGUUGUGUACAUAUGAAAGUACAGAAGGUCCUGGAACUUGGGCAAGACAAUUUUAUUACUGAGGUAAAACCAUCCUCCUUCCUGAAUGGCAUCAGCCUGGAUGAGUGAGGUUUGUUCUUCCUGGGUAUAUACAGGAUGUAUGUUGGGAAAAAUGGGCAGUAAUGAUGGGGUUUUAAGGGGUGCCUGCCAGGCUGCUGAAUUUGCUAAGAAGUUUUCAUUGGUUUUGGCAUUUGUAGCCUUUUGGUGUUCCUUGCAAUAGAUAAUGGUGGCCUUUAGUGGUGGUUCAGCCACCUCCAGCAGUUUGUGUAUGAGUUUGCCAUUUCCUAUGGGGAUUCCUUUUGUAGUUAGAAAACCCCUUUUCUGCCAGAUUAAGACCUGAGAAUGUAGGAUAUGGUAUGCAUAUUUGGAAUUGGUGUAAAUUGGUUAACCCUUUCCUUUUUCCUUUUGCUAGGAUGGGCAACUAGCUCCUCUUGUUGACAGGUAGUUCUGCCUGUUGA
rnacentral:lncRNA from 1 species